rnacentral:rRNA from 1 species
AGUGAACGCUGGCGGUAGGCCUAACACAUGCAAGUCGAACGGCAGCACAGUAAGAGCUUGCUCUUACGGGUGGCGAGUGGCGGACGGGUGAGGAAUACAUCGGAAUCUACUUUUUCGUGGGGGAUAACGUAGGGAAACUUACGCUAGUACCGCAUACGACCUACGGGUGAAAGCAGGGGAUCUUCGGACCUUGCGCGAUUGAAUGAGCCGAUGUCGGAUUAGCUAGUUGGCGGGGUAAAGGCCCACCAAGGCGACGAUCCGUAGCUGGUCUGAGAGGAUGAUCAGCCACACUGGCACUGAGACACGGUCCAGACUCCUACGGGAGGCAGCAGUGGGGAAUAUUGGACAAUGGGCGCAAGCCUGAUCCAGCAAUACCGCGUGGGUGAAGAAGGCCUUCGGGUUGUAAAGCCCUUUUGUUGGGAAAGAAAAGCAGCAGGUUAAUACCCCGCUGUUCUGACGGUACCCAAAGAAUAAGCACCGGCUAACUUCGUG